GAUGAACGCUAGCGGCAGGCCUAACACAUGCAAGUCGAGGGGUAGAAGGCUUCGGCCUUUGAGACCGGCGCACGGGUGCGUAACGCGUAUGCAAUCUGCCUUGCACUAAGGGAUAGCCCGGAGAAAUCCGGAUUAAUACCUUAUAGUAUAUUGAUGUGGCAUCACAUUAUUAUUAAAGAUUUAUCGGUGCAAGACGAGCAUGCGUCCCAUUAGCUAGUUGGUAUGGUAACGGCAUACCAAGGCAAUGAUGGGUAGGGGUCCUGAGAGGGAGAUCCCCCACGCUGGUACUGAGACACGGACCAGACUCCUACGGGAGGCAGCAGUGAGGAAUAUUGGUCAAUGGGCGCAAGCCUGAACCAGCCAUGCCGCGUGCAGGAUGACUGCCCUAUGGGUUGUAAACUGCUUUUGUACGGGAAGAAACACCUCUACGUGUAGAGGCUUGACGGUACCGUAAGAAUAAGGAUCGGCUAACUCCGUGCCAGC
rnacentral:rRNA from 1 species